rnacentral:rRNA from 1 species
UACGAAGGGGGCUAGCGUUGCUCGGAAUCACUGGGCGUAAAGCGCACGUAGGCGGUCCAUCGCGUCGGGAGUGAAAAGCUGGGGCUCAACCCCAGUCCUGCUUCCGAUACGGGUGGACUAGAGGUAUGCAGGGGAGAACGGAAUUCCUGGUGUAGCGGUGAAAUGCGUAGAUAUCAGGAGGAACACCUGUGGCGAAAGCGGCUCACUGGACCAUAACUGACGCUGAUGCACGAAAGCUAGGGGAGCAAACAGG